rnacentral:rRNA from 1 species
GAAGGUGGCAAGCGUUGUUCGGAUUUACUGGGCGUACAGGGAGCGUAGGCGGUUGGGUAAGCCCUCCGUGAAAUCUCCGGGCCUAACCCGGAAAGUGCGGAGGGGACUGCUCGGCUAGAGGAUGGGAGAGGAGCGCGGAAUUCCCGGUGUAGCGGUGAAAUGCGUAGAGAUCGGGAGGAAGGCCGGUGGCGAAGGCGGCGCUCUGGAACAUUUCUGACGCUGAGGCUCGAAAGCGUGGGGAGCAAAC